rnacentral:rRNA from 1 species
GGCGUGCCUAAUACAUGCAAGUCGAGCGAGGGUUUUCGGACCCUAGCGGCGGACGGGUGAGUAACACGUAGGCAACCUGCCUGUAAGACUGGGAUAACAUAGGGAAACUUAUGCUAAUACCGGAUAGAGUUUUGCUUCGCAUGAAGCGAAACGGAAAGAUGGCGCAAGCUAUCACUUGCAGAUGGGCCUGCGGCGCAUUAGCUAGUUGGUGAGGUAAAGGCUCACCAAGGCGACGAUGCGUAGCCGACCUGAGAG